UACGUAGGGACCGAGCGUUGUCCGGAAUCAUUGGGCGUAAAGAGCGUGUAGGCGGCCCCUUAAGUCCUGCGUGAAAUCCUGCGGCUCAACCGCAGACGGUCGUGGGAAACUGGAGGGCUAGAGUGCGGGAGAGGAGAGUGGAAUUCCCGGUGUAGCGGUGAAAUGCGCAGAUAUCGGGAGGAACACCAGUAGCGAAGGCGGCUCGCUGGGCCAUUCCUGACGCUGAGACGCGAAAGCUAGGGGAGCGAACAGG
rnacentral:rRNA from 1 species